AUUGAACGCUGGCGGCAGGCCUAACACAUGCAAGUCGAACGCGUGGCGGACGGGUGAGUAAUGUCUGGGAAACUGCCUGAUGGAGGGGGAUAACUACUGGAAACGGUAGCUAAUACCGCAUACCAUCAGAUGUGCCCAGAUGGGAUUAGCGAGUUGGGGGGGUAACGGAUCACCAAGGAGAUGUUCCCUAGCGGGUAUGAGAGGAUGACCAGCCACACUGGAACUGGGACAAGGUACAGACUCCUACGGGAGGCAGCAGUUGGGAAUAUUGCACAAUGGGCGCAAGCCUGAUGCAGCCAUGCCGCGUGUAUGAAGAAUGCCUUCGGGUUGUAAAGUACUUUCAGCGGGGAGGCGUUACCCGCAGAAGAAGCACCGGCUAACUCCGUGCCAGCAGCCGCGGUAAUAC
rnacentral:rRNA from 1 species